rnacentral:lncRNA from 1 species
GGAGACCUGCAAUGUGGAACGUUGUCUUUCAGAGUUGGAUGCUUGUCAUGGAACGCCCUGAGUCUCAGAACGCUGGUGCUUACAUCCCCCAGGGAAAGGAGGGGAGCCUGCUGGGAGAUGUGGGGAGGAGACGCGCUGGAGAGAAGGGGACCAGCUGAGGCUUGUCAGGGAAGCAUUAGGGGCUGAUGGUCUGGAGGCACCACAGUUCUUGGCAGGCAGGAGCCUGGAAGUGUGGCCACUCCCCCUGCUAGUGGAACAGGACUGUGUGAGCUUCUCAUGUGGACUUGGGUGACAACCAGUCCUGGGUGACAACCAAUCCUGACCAGCUUGUUUCCCAUGGCUGCCAACUCAACAACAGACAUGAGCCCUUCCUCCUCAGUAGAAAUCGUGCCCAUGAGCCAGCCCAGUUCCGAGUAGCAGACAAGACUGGACCAAGGACUGGCCAGGGCCAUGGCUACAGUCCAGUGGCUGGCAAAGAGAGACAUGGCCUCACUGUUGCCCACGCUGGAGUGCAGUGGCAUGAUCAUCACUCACUGCAGCCUCGAAUUCCUGGGCUCAAGUGAUCCUCCACCUCAGCCUCCUCAGUAGCUGGUACUACAGGCAUACACCACCAUGCGGGCUAAUUUGUGUGUGUGUGUGUGUGUGUGUGUGUGUGUGUGUGUGUGUGUGUGUGUUUAGUAGAGAUGGGGUUUCGCCACAUUGGCCAGGCUGGUCUUGAACUCCUGACCUCAGGUGAUCCGCCCGCCUUGGCCUCCCGAAGUGCUGGGAUUACAGGUGUGAGCCACCACGCCCAGCCAGAGAAUGAAUUUUUCUUUAAUGUGUGCGGGAUAUUUUUGUUGUUGUUUUCGAGACGGAGUCUCACUCUGUUGCCCAGGCUGGAGUGCAAUGGCAUGAUCUCAGCUCACUGCAACCUCAGCCCCUUGGGUUCAAGCGAUUCUCCUGCCUCAGCCUCCUGAGUAGCUGGGAUUAACAGGCACGCACCACC